rnacentral:rRNA from 1 species
UACGGAGGGGGCUAGCGUUGUUCGGAAUUACUGGGCGUAAAGCGCACGUAGGCGGCUUGUUAAGUCAGAGGUGAAAUCCCGGAGCUCAACUUCGGAACUGCCUUUGAUACUGGCAAUCUAGAGUCCGGAAGAGGUUAGUGGAAUUCCCAGUGUAGAGGUGAAAUUCGUAGAUAUUGGGAAGAACACCAGUGGCGAAGGCGGCUAACUGGGCCGGUACUGACGCUGAGGUGCGAAAGCGUGGGGAGCAAACAGG